rnacentral:rRNA from 2 species
ACCUGCGGAAGGAUCAUUGUCGUGACCCUAACAAAAAUAGACUGUGAAUAUGUCAUCCAAGCCGUCGGGUGACGGUGCUAGCACCGUCUCUCGGCAUAGGCCACUUCCCUUCUGACGGAGGGGAUGUGGCCCAAAAGAACCCACGGCGUCGUAUGGCGUCAAGGAACACUAUGUUGCAUGCUCAGGGCCACGAUCGGCGUGCUGAACGAGCCCUGCGCUGCUAUGCUACCUGAAUGUAUAAGACUCUCGGCAACGGAUAUCUUGGCUCUUGCAUCGAUGAAGAACGUAGCAAAAUGCGAUACCUGGUGUGAAUUGCAGAAUCCCGUGAACCAUCGAGUUUUUGAACGCAAGUUGCGCCUGAGGCCUCUUGGUUGAGGGCACGUCUGCCUGGGCGUCACGCCAAAAGGCACUCCCUUGCAAUCCUUGCGUGGGAUGUGGUGUUUGGCCUUCCAUUCUACUUAUAAGGUGUGGUAGGCUAAAGGAUGUGGCUGCUGGCUAUGGUGCCAGUCACAGCACUUGGUGGAUGACACAUGUUGUUCUCGAAGUUGUGACUUGUACUGAAUCCGGUAACAUUGGCCCUUUGGACCCAUGGAUCGAUUGCUUGCACCGCGACCCCAGGUCAGUCGGGAUUACCCGCUGAAUUUAAGCAUAUCAAUAAG